CCUACGGGAGGCUGCAGUGAGGAAUAUUGGUCAAUGGACGAGAGUCUGAACCAGCCAAGUAGCGUGAAGGAUGACGGCCCUAGGGGUUGUAAACUUCUUUUAUAUGGGAGUAAAAUGUUCCACGUGUGUGAUUUCGUAUGUACCAUAUGAAUACGGAUCGGCUAACUCCGUGCCAGCCGCGGCGGUAAUAAGGAGGAUCCGAGCGUUAUCCGGGUUUAUUGGGUUUAAAGGGAGCGUAGGUGGAUUGUUAAGUCAGUUGUGAAAUUUAGGGGCUCAACCGUAAGAUUGCAUUUGAUACUUGCAGUCUUGAGUACGGUAGAGGUAGGCGGAAUGCGUGGUGUAGCGGUGAAAUGCGUAGAUAUAACGAAGAACUCCGAUUGCGAAGGCAGCUCACUGGACUUAAACUGACACUGAGGCACGAAAGUGUGGGUAGCAAACAGGAUUAGAUACCCUUGUAGUC
rnacentral:rRNA from 1 species